AGAGAGAGACAUGCGCGCAUAUCAAUAAGCGGAGGAAAAGAAACUAACAAGGAUUCCCCUAGUAACGGCGAGUGAAGCGGGAAGAGCUCAAAUUUGAAAUCUUAAAGGGUUUCCCUUUACGAAUUGUAGUUUAAAGAAGUGUUUUCUGUUGAGGUAUUGGUAAAAGUUCUUUGGAAUAGGACAUCAUAGAGGGUGAGAAUCCCGUAUUUGACCUUUACUUUCAACUUUGUGAUACACUUUCAAAGAGUCGGAUUGUUUGGGAAUGCAGUCCAAAAUGGGUGGUAAAUUUCAUCUAAAGCUAAAUAUUGGCGAGAGACCGAUAGCGAACAAGUACCGUGAGGGAAAGAUGAAAAGAACUUUGAAAAGAGAGUUAAACAGUACGUGAAAUUGUCAAAGGGAAGCGUUUGACACCAGUGUUGUUUUUCUGAAAAUCAAUUAAAGAACUGUUUAUGCUAAGUUGUUUAGACUUUAUCAGCUAACUGUUUAGUUUUGAGCUUUUCUUUAAUGCACUUUUCAGUUAACAAGUCAACAUCAAUUUCUUUUGCUGUAAAAAAGCUUGAGGAAGGUGGCUUGAGAUUCGUCUUAAGUGUUUAUAGCCUCUUGCCUAUGCAGUCGGAGAGAUUGAGGUCUGCAGCGUAGAUCCUUCGGGGCUAAAUGCAUUUGUGCUAAGUUAUAGCAUUUUAUAGACAACUUGUUGACUAUGAUUUGUCUUGUAGCUUACUCGCUUAUGUUAUUUUACCUACGCUUAGGAUGUUGAGCGCAUGUCUCUCUCU
rnacentral:rRNA from 1 species